rnacentral:rRNA from 1 species
AGAGAGAGACAUGCGCGCAUAUCAAUAAGCGGAGGAAAAGAAACUAACAAGGAUUCCCCUAGUAACGGCGAGUGAAGCGGGAAGAGCUCAAAUUUGAAAUCUUAAAGGGUUUCCCUUUACGAAUUGUAGUUUAAAGAAGUGUUUUCUGUUGAGGUUUUGGUAAAAGUUCUUUGGAAUAGGACAUCAUAGAGGGUGAGAAUCCCGUAUUUGACCUUUACUUUCAACUUUGUGAUACACUUUCAAAGAGUCGGAUUGUUUGGGAAUGCAGUCCAAAAUGGGUGGUAAAUUUCAUCUAAAGCUAAAUAUUGGCGAGAGACCGAUAGCGAACAAGUACCGUGAGGGAAAGAUGAAAAGAACUUUGAAAAGAGAGGUUAAACAGUACGUGAAAUUGUCAAAAGGGAAGCGUUUGACACCAGUGUUGUUUUUCUGAAAAUCAAUUAAAGAACUGUUUAUGCUAAGCUGUUUAGACUUUAUCAGCUAACUGUUUAGUUUUGAGCUUUUCUUUAAUGCACUUCUCAGUUAACAAGUCAACAUCAAUUUCUUUUGCUGUAAAAAAGCUUGAGGAAGGUGGCUUGAGAUUCGUCUUAAGUGUUUAUAGCCUCUUGCCUAUGCAGUCGGAGAGAUUGAGGUCUGCAGCGUAGAUCCUUCGGGGCUAAAUGCAUUUGUGCUAAGUUAUAGCAUUUUAUAGGCAACUUGUUGACUAUGAUUUGUCUUGUAGCUUACUCGCUUAUGUUAUUUUACCUACGCUUAGGAUGUUGAGCGCAUGUCUCUCUCU